AGAGUUUGAUCAUGGCUCAGGACGAACGCUGGCGGCGUGCCUAACACAUGCAAGUCGAACGGAACGAUAAGGAAGAAGUCCUUCGGGACGACGGAGAUAUUGUUUAGUGGCGGACGGGUGAGUAACGCGUGAGUAACCUGCCUUUAAGAGGGGGAUAACGUUUGGAAACGAACGCUAUACCGCAUAAAAUAUAACUGCCGCAUGGCGGAUAUAUCAAAGAAAUUCGCUUAGAGAUGGACUCGCGUCCGAUUAGUUAGUUGGCGGGGUAAAGGCCCACCAAGACCGCGAUCGGUAGCCGGACUGAGAGGUUGAACGGCCACAUUGGGACUGAGACACGGCCCAGACUCCUACGGGAGGCAGCAGUGGGGGAUAUUGCGCAAUGGGGGGAACCCUGACGCAGCAACGCCGCGUGAAGGAAGAAGGUUUUCGGAUUGUAAACUUCUUUUCUUAAGGACGAAGGAAGCGACGGUACUUAAGGAAUAAGCUCCGGCUAACUACGUGCCAGCAGCCGCGGUAAUACGUAGGGAGCAAGCGUUGUCCGGAAUUACUGGGUGUAAAGGGUGCGUAGGCGGCUCGGCAAGUCAGAUGUGAAAUCUAUGGGCUCAACCCAUAAACUGCAUUAGAAACUGCAGAGCUUGAGUGAAGUAGAGGCAGGCGGAAUUCCCCGUGUAGCGGUGAAAUGCGUAGAGAUGGGGAGGAACACCGGUGGCGAAGGCGGCCUGCUGGGCUUUAACUGACGCUGAGGCACGAAAGCGUGGGUAGCAAACAGGAUUAGAUACCCUGGUAGUCCACGCCGUAAA
rnacentral:rRNA from 1 species